UGGGGUUUGCUCAGUGGCAGAGUGCAUGCUUGUUGUGCAUGAGGUCCUGGGUUCAAUCCCCAGUGCCUCUA
rnacentral:tRNA from 1 species